rnacentral:ncRNA from 1 species
UUCCCGUGAAGAAGCGGGAAUAGUAUAAUAAGACGAGAAGACCCUAUGGAGCUUUAAUUUACUAGCUUACUCAACCAGUUUCCAACCCACAAGGGCAUAAUAUAUAUAUAUAUACGAGCCUAAGCUAAUAAUUUCGGUUGGGGUGACCUCGGAGAAUAACAGAACCUCCGAAUGAUAUUAACUUAGAUCCAACAAAUCGAAGUCUACGUCACCAAUUGAUCCAAAAUUUCUUUUGACCAACAGACCAAGUUACCCUAGGGAUAACAGCGCAAUCCUAUUCUAGAGUUCAUAUUGACAAUGGGGUUUACGACCUCGAUGUUGGAUCAGGACAUCCUAAUGGUGCAGCAGCUAUUAAGGGUUCGUUUGUUCAACGAUUAAUAGUCCUACGUGAUCUGAGUUCAGACCGGAGUAACCCAGGUCGGUUUCUAUCUAUUAUAAACUUCUCCUAGUACGAAAGGACAAGAGAAGUGGGGCCAAUAAACCACCCAUGCCCUGAUGACCAAAAAAUGAUAUCAUAUCAAUUUUAUAAUCAUCCAAAUAUCUUCCUACCCAAGAAAAGGGUUGUUAAGGUGGCAGAGCCCGG